rnacentral:rRNA from 1 species
AAUGAACGCUGGCGGCAGGCCUAAAACAUGCAAGUCGAACGCUCUAGCAAUAGAGAGUGGCGCACGGGUGAGUAACACGUGGGAAUAUGCCUUUUGGUACGGAACAACGUCUGGAAACGGACGCUAAUACCGUAUGGUCCCUCCGGGGUAAAGAUUUAUCGCCAAAAGAUUAGCCCGCGUCUGAUUAGCUAGUUGGUGAGGUAAUGGCUCACCAAGGCGACGAUCAGUAGCUGGUCUGAGAGGACGAUCAGCCACACUGGGACUGAGACACGGCCCAGACUCCUACGGGAGGCAGCAGUUAGGAAUAUUGGACAAUGGGCGCAAGCCUGAUCCAGCCAUGCCGCGUGAGUGAUGAAGGCCUUCGGGUUGUAAAGCUCUUUAGUCCACGAAUAUAAUGACUGUAGUGGAAGAAUAAGCCCCGGCUAACUUCGUGCCAGCCGCCGCCGCAGUAA